rnacentral:rRNA from 1 species
ACACAUGCAAGUCGAGGGGCAGCAUGAUUGAAGCUUGCUUCAAUUGAUGGCGACCGGCGCACGGGUGAGUAACGCGUAUCCAACCUUCCGUACACUCAGGGAUAGCCUUUCGAAAGAAAGAUUAAUACCCGAUGGUAUGAUGAGAUUGCAUGAUAGCAUCAUUAAAGAUUUAUCGGUGUACGAUGGGGAUGCGUUCCAUUAGGUAGUAGGCGGGGUAACGGCCCACCUAGCCGACGAUGGAUAGGGGUUCUGAGAGGAAGGUCCCCCACAUUGGAACUGAGACACGGUCCAAACUCCUACGGGAGGCAGCAGUGAGGAAUAUUGGUCAAUGGACGAGAGUCUGAACCAGCCAAGUAGCGUGAAGGAUGAAGGUCCUACGGAUUGUAAACUUCUUUUAUAAGGGAAUAAAACCUCCCACGUGUGGGAGCUUGUAUGUACCUUAUGAAUAAGCAUCGGCUAACUCCGUGCCAGCAGCCGCGGUAAUACGGAGGAUGCGAGCGUUAUCCGGAUUUAUUGGGUUUAAAGGGAGCGCAGACGGGUCGUUAAGUCAGCUGUGAAAGUUUGGGGCUCAACCUUAAAAUUGCAGUUGAUACUGGCGUCCUUGAGUGCGGUUGAGGUGUGCGGAAUUCGUGGUGUAGCGGUGAAAUGCUUAGAUAUCACGAAGAACUCCGAUUGCGAAGGCAGCACACUAAGCCGUAACUGACGUUCAUGCUCGAAAGUGUGGGUAUCAAACAGGGUU